GUGAGUCUGGUUGCAGGGUAUAAAUAUAAUAUUGUUUUCGUUUACGUUGAAGGAUUUUUUGUGCAAUUCAAAAUGCUCUGAUUAUUAUGAUAUAUUUUUUGUUUUUUUGUAUUUUUUAAUUUUUAUUUAAGUUAUUUUAUUUUUUUUAUUGUUUAGUAUUAUAGAAAAGCUUGAUUUUGUUAUAGUUUACUUUUAAUGUAAGUGGUUUAUUUUUAAAUUUAAUUUAAGAAUUUUUAUUUUAUUUUACCUUUUGUAUCAGGGUCGAUUAAAUAUUUUAUUUUUAUAGAUUUUUCUCGAAUUGUAAGGAUUUAUAUUGAAAUGAUUGUUAUUGUUUUAUAACUAUUUAAAAUUUUGAUAUAGGAGUGAGAUUCUAUACGUUUUGCAAGAUAUCUAGUUUCUUUAGAUGAAAUUUAAUUUGUAAGGGUUUUUUAAAUUAAUUGUUUAUUAUUAGUUUAUUAAUUUUUUAUUAUGUUUUAGGGGUUAAGCUCUAGAUUAUAUUAUAAUUUAUUUUAAUUUUAUUUUAAUGUAGGCUUGGAAUUAGCCAUUAUAUAUAAGUGUGUAUUAUUAUAUUAUUUAUUUUAAUUAUUUUUUAUUAAGGUUUAGUUAUUUUAUAAAGAUUUAGAUUGGAAUUUUUUUUUGUUUAGUAAUAAUGAUUGAAUUAGUAUAUUUUUUUGUUUAAUUAAUAAUAUAUUUGAUGUUAUUAAAAGGAAUUAGGCAAAUUAUAUUUCCGCUUGUUUAUCAAAAACAUCUCUUGUAGGAUAAAAAUUAUAAGUAGGGCCUGCACACUGAGGAUUUAAAGAGCCGCAGUAUUUUGACUGUGCAAAGGUAGCAUAAUCAUUAGUAUAUUAAUUGUGUACUGGAAUGAAGGGUUUGACGAGAAAUAUUCUGUCUCUUUGUGAUAAUUAGAAUUUUACUUUUUAGUAAAAAGGCUGGGAUUGAUUUUUUGGACGAUAAGACCCUAUAGAGUUUAAUUUAUUUUUUAUUAUUAGUUUAGGUUAAUUUAUGUGUUUUUAUUAGAAUAAUAAAUUUAGUUGGGGCGAUUUGAAUAAUAAUGAAACUAUUCAUUUGAUUAUCAUUGAUUUAUGUUAUUUAUGAUCCUUUAUUAUUGAUUUUUAGAUAAAAUUACCUUAGGGAUAACAGCGCAAUCAUCUUUGAGAGUUCUUAUUGACGGGAUGGAUUGUGACCUCGAUGUUGGAUUAAGAUUGUUAUUUAGGUGUAGGCGCUUGA
rnacentral:rRNA from 1 species